rnacentral:rRNA from 1 species
UUAAGCUAAGAAGAGCGUAGGGAGAAUGCCUUGGCAUUAGGAGCCGAUGAAGGACGUGAUAAGCUGCGAUAAGCUGCGGGGAUCAGCAAGUAUGAAUUGAUCCGCAGAUUUCCGAAUGGAGCAAUCCGUAUGUGUAUGCACAUACAUCAUAUACUGAAUCAAAUAGGUAUAUGAGGGGAACCGCCUGAACUGAAACAUCUAAGUAGGGCGAGGAAGAGAAAUCAACCGAGAUUCUGUGAGUAGUGGCGAGCGAAAGCGGAAGAGGCUAAACCAUAGGUAGCAAUACUUAUGGGGUUUCGGACAGCAUUUAGCAUUGAUAAUUUCUAGUUGAAACGUGUGGGAAAACGUACCGAGGAGUGUGAGAGUCACGUAAGCGAAAGAGAAAGUCAGCGAGCUGUAUCCAAAGUACCGCGGGACACGUGAAACCCCGUGGGAAGAUGGGGGGACCAUCCUCCAAGCCUAAAUACUACCUAAUGACCGAUAGCGAAUAGUACUGUGAAGGAACGGUGAAAAGAACCCCGGGAGGGGAGUGAAAAAGAACCUGAAACCCUAUGCUUACAAGCACCGAGAGCACGUCAAAGUGUGAUCGGGUACCUUUUGUAGAAUGGUCCGGCGAGUUAUUGUAUGCGGCAAGGUUAAGUGCUUAAGGCACGGAGCCGAAGCGAGAGCAAGUCUGAAUAGGGCGAAAGAGUCGUAUGCAAUAGACCCGAAACCGAGUGACCUAUCCAUGUCCAGGCUGAAGUGGAGGUAAAACUCCAUGGAGGGCCGAACACACGUCCGUUGAAAAGGCCGGUGAUGAGGUGUGGAUAGCGGAGAAAUUCCAAUCGAACUCGGAUAUAGCUGGUUCUCUCCGAAAUAGCUUUAGGGCUAGCCUCGUGAAAGAUUACUGGAGGUAAAGCACUGAAUGGGCUAGGGGUCGAAAGAUUACUGAACCCUAUCAAACUAAGAAUGCCAGAUAAUUGAUUCACGGGAGUCAGACAAUGUGAGAUAAGUCUCAUUGUCAAAAGGGAAACAGCCCAGACCCACAGCUAAGGUCCCUAAACAUUGUUAAGUGGAAAAGGAUGUGGGGUUGCAUAAACAACCAGGAUGUUGGCUUAGAAGCAGCCACUCAUUAAAAGAGUGCGUAAUAGCUCACUGGUCGAGUGACCCUGCGCCGAAAAUUCAACGGGGCUAAACAAUGUACCGAAGCUUGGGAUUCUAAAGUAAUUUAGAGUGGUAGGAGAGCGUCGAAUAAGGGGUGAAGUCAGAGCGGAAGCGCUGGUGGACUUUAUUCGAGUGAGAAUGCCGGAAUGAGUAGCGAGAAUUAUGUGAGAAUCAUAAUGGCCGAAAAUCUAAGGUUUCCUGAGGAAGGUUCGUCCGCUCAGGGUAAGCCGGGGGCUAAGGCGAGGCGGAGACGCGUAGCCGAUGCACAUACGGUUGAAAUUCCGUAGCCACCGAAAGAUUUAAGUACAGGGACGCUUUAGAAGUGAUGUAGCCGGGCGAUGGUUGACCCGGUCGUAAGGGAUCGAAAAUGAGUAGAGAAGUCAUCAUGGAAAGAGACAAGAAAAGCUGUAUGAAUAUCUUAGGUGCCCGUACCGCAAACCGACACAGGUAGAUAGGAAGAAGAUUCUAAGGCCAACGGGAGAAGGGUUGUUAAGGAACUCGGCAAGUUGACCCCGUAACUUCGGAAUAAGGGGUGCUCAUGAAAGUGAGCCGCAGAGAAUAGGCCCAGGCAACUGUUUACCAAAAACACAGGUUUGUGCUAAAUCGAAAGAUGACGUAUACGAGCUGACGCCUGCCCGGUGCUGGAAGGUUAAGAGGAGAUGUGCAAGCAUUGAAUCGAAGCCCCAGUGAACGGCGGCCGUAACUAUAACGGUCCUAAGGUAGCGAAAUUCCUUGUCAGGUAAG